UCUUCUCUUAGAUUCUGCUUUUUUGAUUUUACAGUAUGCAAUUUAGGGUUUAGCUUAAAGUUUCUGUUGUUUGAUAGAGUUUUGUUUUUUUUUUUUAUGUGGGGCGUAAAAAGAGAGAGUGGAGGGGGAUAUGGUGAUGAAACGAAUAUUUCGUGGACUAGAGUUUCAGAUCUGGGCUCUUCACCCAGAAUUUGAAGAAACAACCCUUGGCUGUCUGAUUGUUAUCUAUGGGGGAAAACUAGAUAAGUUUGCGAUGAUGAUAAAAUAGCACGAAGGUGCGUGAAGGGCAGUGGACAAAGCAAUGAGAAUUGUUUUGCCGUGAGCUCUCUUUAACAAACGACUUCUCCUUCCACUGAGCAUCCUUUUUCCCCUAUUUGAUUGAUUGUUUUGAUAUUGUUAAUGAUGAUUUGGUGGCGUCUUUUACCAAUUCUGAAGGAUUUUAAAAACUAUUCCUUUAGGUAUAAUGGCAUUGACGCAAUAUAAGGUUGUGGUAUAUCCUGAUCAUUUUUCUUUUUUUUUUCCAUGUUAUUUGAUCCUGGAAAUGCCUCAGACAUUUUGUUUUCUAUCUAUGUGUGUUUUUUUCUAUUGUCCGAAUUGUAGCUUUUUUUGUUUUUGAAUUGAAGAGAUUUGUGUGUAGAUAAUUUCACGACCUUGUGUUGGAUGGAAGAAGUUUUGGUUUUGAGUUUGUUUCAGUUGAUAUGGUUUUCUAUUUUAAUAUCGUGGAUUGCUGGCUAAUUAUAAAAUCAAAGAUGGCUUAAUGGAUUAAGAAUCCUAAGAUAACAGUUUUUACGAAGUUAUCAUUUGACCCUCAUAGAACAUGGAUUACUAAAACUUCCACCGUUGGAUGUUGGGUGUACAAAUAAAAGUGUGAUACAUUACAUAAUGACUAAUGUUAUGCCAGCUUGAGGCUUACGAUUGUUGGAUUACCUUUGAGUUUGUUUAUUUUGUUAUGUUACUCAUUUAAAUCCUCGUAAAUGCUAUUUGCCAUUGAACUUACUUAGAUGGCAGAUUCCAUCCUGGAUGAUGAAUUGUUUGAUCUGUUUGUGUUAUGUUCAAUGCGUUUGUCAAAGAUCUAAAACCUAUAUUUUGGUGGAAUUUUCUGUUCAAACCCGCCAAUUGUUGGGGAUACUGUUAUAAUAUUUCUUUUGAGGGAUGCAAUUUUUGAAUUAACCAUAGACUGUACUAGUAGACUUUGGAUGAUACGUUGUUAGGUUUAAUGAGAUUUGUGGGUGAAUCAUGUCACGUUCUUGAGGAUUGAUCAGUUGUGAGAUGAAUGAUGGCUUUUGUUUCUACUAGUUGAAUAUGGAGGAUAAGAUGAUAGAUGGCUCACAACAAUUAAGAAUUCUAGGAUUGCAAGAUUUACGAAUUGUAAUCAUACGGUAUGGAAGAUCAAGUUCACGAGUUUCUUAAGUUGGGCUAUCUUACCCGAUAAGAUGGUGAAAACUCUCACAGCUAAUGAGAGCUAGUAAUAUUUUGUUAAAUGCAUCGUUGUUUUAUCUACGAGUGUUUUAGUCGGUAAUUGUGUGACAAAGUAAAGAACGUUCUUGCAAUAAUAGUUUUGUCAAAUAAUCCUAACACGAGUUCCUAACACCUUCUUCUUUCUCUCUCAAAAACCUAAUCGCCGCUUCAAAGACCUAGAUCUAAAUCUCUCCGUUUAGGGUGGCUGCCGUCCUUCUGACGGUGGCCCCGUAUACGUUUUAGUUUAUAGCUUAAUCUUCUCUUUAAGUUCUUUUGGUUUCGUCCACAACGAAGUUUUGAAAUCUGAAUCUGUCUAUCAAUUUCAUCUCUUUGCUUCAGAUUGAGUUGAUUCGAUUGGUCUGUACCUUUGUCAGUCGAAUCAAAUCUCUGGAGGUGGUGCAACGAAAUUAGGAUCGGUCCUAAGCCUACCUUCCUCUGUUUAAUUGAAUUUGAUUUUCUCUAGUCUUUGGUUCAGCUUCGGUGUGAAGUCAUCACGAUGGAAGAACAGAAAAGGUUAUCAUCCACUCUUUGAAGAAGAUGUUCUCGGGGUCCUGUUACCUCGCCCAGCAGAUGAAGCUUCCUUCCUCCCCGCAUCUUUAAAUAAAAUUUUUCAAUCGGAGCAUAUCAGCAGCUAUAGUCUCGUGUCUUCUCCUGGAUUGGCUGAAGCGCUUCUGAAGAGGUAUUGGGUUGAGUUUCAAUUGAAGAUAUAGCGGUAUAGAAGGGGUUGAUUUCUUCAUUAUUUGGCUGGUGCUCUUCUUCAUCAAGGUUCUUCAAUUUUCCUUGUUAAUCUGUCUGACUACAGCUUUAUCCUUUCGCUCUCAAGAGCGUUUGUUUUGUUUGUCUGCUUUCUGAGUCUUUUUCCUCUGCGGACGAAGGACUCCUGCAUCGUUGCCUUCAUCGUCUUGGAGUUAAACUUCUCUCCCGACUGACUUGGUUUUUAGAGAUAAAUUCUUAGUAGCUUUGCAGUUUGGUUGGUUUUGGUUUAAAUCUGGUGUUUAGUUUGUAAAAUUUCCUUGUUUGGACUUAAGUUUAAAGUUUCUGAGGGUUUUUCUUUGUA